rnacentral:ribozyme from 1 species
CAGGGAACAAAACAAAAAAUAAAGCAAAAAAAGCAAAAAAACUAUUUGUAAAAUAUAUGUCAAAUUUCCUUUUUUAUUCUGAUUCCUUUUUACUCUUUCAAUUGUUCAUUUUCAUCCUGAUAAUUAUUAUCAU